AACGCACGAGACCUGCGGACCUGCGGAGGGAUCAUUAAUGAGAAACUGCCCCUCGCGGGUAGAUCUCCCACCCUUUGUAAACUUACCUUUGUUGCUUUGGCAGGCCCGUCCCCGGACCGCCGGCUUCGGCUGGCCAGUGCCUGCCAGAGGAUUCUAAAACUCUGUCUGUCAGUGUUGUCUGAGUCUAUAUACAAUCGUUAAAACUUUUAGCAAUGGAUCUCUAGAUCGGAAGAGCACACG
rnacentral:misc_RNA from 1 species